rnacentral:lncRNA from 1 species
UACUUUAUUCCCAAUGUGUAUGAUCAUUUCACGAUCCCUCAGCCUCCUGCUAUCCUCAAGAUCUUGUAAAAAAGUGCAUAAGUGAGCACUAGAUCCAGAGUUAAGCAUCCAACUGGAUGCGGAAGAAACCGUUAGGAUUGUUUCUAUGACGAGCAUAUUUUCAGAAAGUCCGCCUUCCUUCUUGUUCUUCAAUUCCGCUUCCAGUGGCCGUC